rnacentral:rRNA from 1 species
UACGUAGGGCGCAAGCGUUGUCCGGAAUCACUGGGCGUAAAGGGCGCGUAGGCGGCCAAUCAAGUCAGGGGUGAAAUCCCGAGGCUUAACCUCGGAACUGCCUUUGAUACUGUUUGGCUCGAGACCGGAAGAGGUAAGUGGAACUGCGAGUGUAGAGGUGAAAUUCGUAGAUAUUCGGAAGAACACCAGUGGCGAAGGCGGCUCACUGGACUGGUAUUGACGCUGAGGUGCGAAAGCGUGGGGAGCAAACAGG